AAUAUUGCACAAUGGGCGCAAGCCUGAUGCAGCGACGCCGCUAGGAGGAUGAAGGCCUUCGAGUCGUAAACACCUGCUUGGGGGGAUGAAAACAGACAAUACCCCCGGCAGAAGCCCCGGCAAACUACGUGCCAGCAGCCGCGGUAACACGUAGGGGGCGAGCGUUGUCCGGAAUUACUGGGCGUAAAGCGCGCGCAGACGGCUUGUUAAGUCAGGUGUCAAAAUGCGGGGCUCAACCCCGUAUCGCACUUGAAACUGGCAGGCUUGAGUGCAGGAGAGGGAAGUGGAAUUCCUAGUGUAGCGGUGAAAUGCGUAGAUAUUAGGAGGAACACCAGUGGCGAAGGCGACUUCCUGGACUGUAACUGACGCUGAGGCGCGAAAGCUAGGGGAGCAAAC
rnacentral:rRNA from 1 species